CAGUGGCUUGGACCAAAGAGCAUUCCUUUGUCUCAUCAUCUAAGACAAAGGAAAGUUGUAAAGAGAAAGGUGCAUACAGAAAUUCUCCAAGUCCACAAUUCAUUCUGGGAAUCAAAAAAGCAAUUCCCCGAGUCCAGAGAUGUGGGUGGUGUGGUCAGAGGCUGCCUGACUGCCUCGAGCUGCAGAGCUCCAAGUCUGGGGAACUAGAGAAAGCAGGAUUUGUGUUUUGUUAUCUCUUUCAACAGGCUGCACAUACAAAGGCGCUGCAGAUCAAUUUGUGGUGUUAAAGUGCUCAUGCCCUUUCCGGAGGAGCAUUGCCUUGAAUAUUUAACAGGGCAGAAACCCAUCAGAUUCAAGUUCUCUGGAUGGUGCUCGCCCAACACCUAUGGACAGGCACAAUAUUUCAAUGGUUUCAAGAAGGUAUCCUGGGAGAAGUGAACUGAAAUAUGGAGGAUGCCUUGGAAGAGGAAGGAGCUAGAAGAGAGCAUGGUGAAGUCUGUGGCCAGAGUGCUGUGGAUGGAGAAGGGAUGGAAGGAGGGAAUUCAGAAUUUCAGCGUCCCAGGAAAGCUUCGGUGUGCUAAAAGAGAAUGGAAGCAUUGAGAGCGUUUCACACGGCUCAGGAACCCUCCAAGAGGCGACGCCAGUUCUCCACGACAGUUACCUGUUCAACGGAACUUAACUAACACACCUGUGUAUCAUCCCUGCAACAUACACGGUAAUGAUUUCCUAUUUCUUUGUGGAAAACACAGCUGUUCCAGACUCUUCACAUGUAUCUAGUCCUCCCAAGUCCCAGUGAAGUAAGUACUAUUCUUUAUCUAAAGAUGAAGGGAAGGCUCCCAGGGGUUCCCUGAUCUAUCCAAAUAGCACGCAGCUUUCAUCCCACGUGCUUUCAGCUGUGCGUGGUGCACUUUUCGUUUAGGGACUGAGGUGGACCAAAGAGAAAAAUUACAUUGUUCAUUCAUUAGUUCAUUAUUGAAGAAUCUAAAUUUCCGGCAGGUCAUCUUAUUUAUUUAUUUAUUUAUUUAUUUAGGAUUCUAGUGUUUGUAGUUAAGAAAAGAUUUUUAUCUUCCUGGUUGUCUUUUUACUAUUCCUCUUACCCUCUUAAAGGCGAGAUGGUAGAAAAUAAAAAAAUAGGGGAAAAGAAAAAAAAAGAAAGGUAAAAUCAAAUGUUCUAACAGUCUUAACCUCAAAGCUGUUUUUGAAAAUAAAUGGCAUAUGAGGGGUACAGAGCUAAUCUUAGACUUAAUUCCCUUGUGGAAUUUUCUGCUUGUUUAUUUUACUAAUUCUGUUCUGCUUUGGCCUGACGAUAUUUUGUUGUACCAUCAGAUAUAUUUUCUUUGUAAAAAUUUUUAAAAACUGUAUAUCUUCUAAUUAAGCCAGUAAAGCCAAAAUAUUGCCAUGACAACAAUCAAUAUUAAAA
rnacentral:lncRNA from 1 species